AGAUCUGUGAGCCGUGGAAAGAAGAGAGCAGAAAGAAAAGACCAUCAAGAUCAACUAAAGCGAAAGAAGUGAGCAGAGACAAAAGAGGAAUAGAAGAGACGAAAGCAGAAGAUCUAUGAGCUCUGGAAAGAAGAGAGAAGAAAGAAAAGACAUUGGAUUUGUGAUUGUUGGGGUAGGAGAAAGAAGUGGAGAGGUUGAAGAAUUUGGUCGAAGAGGUUGCUGGGUUUUGGAAGAGAUAGCUGAUGUUCACAAAAGGGAAUUUUCACGUCAUCAUCUGAGUAGAAGUUUAACAAGGUUAAAUGUCAUUUUGCAUAUCAAUUUCUACAAGACAAUCUCAGAG